rnacentral:lncRNA from 1 species
AUAACCCCUUAUCCCCCCUUUAUACCCAAACGCUAAUUUUUUACCGGAGAAUAGUAGUUCUCAGGUACCUGGAAUAAGCCGGUAUAACUAUCCCCACCAACACCUCUAUUUUCUAUAUAUAACUACCCAUUAUUUUUCUUAUUCCAUAUUAUCUAUCCAAACACUAUUUUUCUUAUCCCUGGAAACAACUCAAUUUUUUUCCAAACACUAUUUUUCUUAUCCCCAUACUUGUACCUAUCCUUGUAAUAGCUAGUUCUUGCUUAUACCCGAACCAAAUGGUGCCUAAAAGUCCA